rnacentral:rRNA from 1 species
CCUACGGGAGGCUGCAGUGGGGGAUAUUGGACAAUGGGGGAAACCCUGAUCCAGCGACGCCGCGUGAGUGAAGAAGUAUUUCGGUAUGUAAAGCUCUAUCAGCAGGGAAGAAAGAAAUGACGGUACCUGAGUAAGAAGCACCGGCUAACUACGUGCCAGCAGCCGCGGUAAUACGUAGGGGGCAAGCGUUAUUCGGAAUUACUGGGUGUAAAGGGAGCGUAGACGGUAAUGCAAGUGUGGAGUGAAAGGCGUGGGCACAACCCCCGGACUGCUCUGGAAACUGUGUAACUGGAGUGCAGGAGAGGCAGGCGGAAUUCCGAGUGUAGCGGUGAAAUGCGUAGAUAUUAGGAGGAACACCAGUGGCGAAGGCGGCCUGCUGGACUGUAACUGACGUUGAGGCUCGAAAGCGUGGGGAGCAAACAGGAUUAGAUACCCCAGUAGUC